AGGUCUUGCCUGCCCAGGAAUAAUUAAACGGCCGCGGUAUUUUGACCGUGCGAAGGUAGCGCAAUCACUGUCUCUUAAAUAGAGACCUGUAUGAAUGGUGUAACGAGGGCUUAACUGUCUCCUUCCUCAAGUCAAUGAAAUUGAUCUGCCCGUGCAGAAGCGGGCAUAAAUAUACAAGACGAGAAGACCCUUUGGAGCUUAAGAUAAAAAUUACCUAUGUUAAAAAUCAACUAAAAUUGAAUUAAACAAAAUAGUACCUAAUUAUUAAUCUUCGGUUGGGGCGACCACGGGAGAAAAUAAAGCUCCCACGCGGAUUGGGAUUGAACCCCUAUAGCCAAGAAAGACAUUUCUAAGCAUCAAAACAUUUGACCAAAAUGAUCCAGCUAAAGCUGAUCAACGAACCAAGUUACCCAAGGGAUAACAGCGCAAUCCUCUUUAAGAGUCCAUAUCGACAAGGGGGUUUACGACCUCGAUGUUGGAUCAGGACAUCCUAAUGGUGCAGCCGGCUAUUAAGGGUUCGUUUGUUCAACGAUUAAAGUCCUACGUGAUCU
rnacentral:rRNA from 1 species